rnacentral:lncRNA from 1 species
UCAUAUCCGUGAGUGAGUAACAAACAAGAAGUAGGAAUCGUUUUCAUCUUUCUCUAAUUAAUUAAUUAUUAUUAUUACAGUAAUUAUUAUUAUUGUUGCUAGUGUUACUACUACUAUUAUGCUCGUUGAACUUUCUUUCAAUUAUGCUCUAAUAACACCCAUUUCUGCAACUUAUCUAUCUCCAUUCUCUCUAGCCAGCCAGCCAGCCAGCCAUGUCAUCACCACCGAAUUAUGCCCACGCGCAUNN